CGCUGUCUUACUUUAUGUGAUGUUCAAUUUGAUUCGCAAUGAAAUGAUCGUUGUGAAACGGCUGUCGCUGGUGUCUAAGUGUUGCUGAUACGGUUGUGAACGUCCGUGGCUGUAUAUGUGGUGACAUGUUAGGACUCUAAUGAGUUUAAGACCUAAUGAGCCUCUUAAGUGAGGCCGCCAGCAACCUUUUUUUUCUCUACAUUUUAAAAAAAAAACUAAAAUUCUAUCCUUAUCGGUGGAUCACUAGGCUCGUGGAUCGAUGAAGAACGCAGCAAACUGCGAUAAUUAUUGCGAACUGCAGAAGUAUUGAGCACAAAAGUUUUGAACGCAAAUGGCCGCAUUGAGGUCAAACUCUUUGCAACGUCUGGUUCAGGGUCAUUUUCUCUUAUAGCGGAAGCUUUAAUUUCUAUAAUGAUGUUGUUGCUUUAUAUUUUAAAAGGAUUUUUGUUUAUUCAUGUAUUAAAUCUAACUGUGAAAAUCAAACAAUUUUGACCUGAACUCAUCCGAGAGCAAAACCAA
rnacentral:rRNA from 1 species